AAAUACAGCCUAGGUCAGCUUUGUUUUGUCUGUAUGCUCAUCUUAUUUGGUUUCCAUUCUCUCACACUCCUCCUUCCCAGAUAGCUCAAGGUCUAGAAUGGCAGAGAAAACUGAAUAUAUGAGGUCAUGGGCUAAAAAGCUUCCAUGAUUUAGUUCUUCUGUUAAAGGCUGCAUAGAAGAGAAGAAGAAGCUGACUUCCAAAACAGGGAAAUGUAAGGAAGCAUGUGUCAAAUACUUUGAGAAAAAACAUUAUGGUGCAUCUUGCCAAAGGCAUAAUAUAUAAGGGAUCAAUUUUCUUCUCUAUUCAGCAAUUACAAAUAAGUACUUAUCCCUUACUUGAGGGAAUCUUCACACUUGGAACAUCAGUUUCUUAUGAUUCAGUGAAGUCUGUGACUGAAAUGAAAUAGGAAGAGACUAGCAAAAUUGAUAAUGUUAAGAUUGACAGGUGUGCUAAAAAAGCAAGUCACGGUUGGUCCUAGAAGUCAUCCGCCAAAGUCACUGAAUCCAAAAAAAUAUGCUGCUAACAUCAAAUUGAACUGCUUUCUGAUGCUAGCAACUAUGCUGGAAAGUAAUCAGUGAACAUCUAUUCAUGGAGUUAACAAAGUUUCCAGUCUAAGAUGGCAACACAGGAAGACUCAACUCAUGUCCUCAAAGGAACACACCACAUUAUAACUCUUUAUACAAUAAUACCUCCUGAAGAAGAACAUAGGGCCAACUAAACAGCUUCUGCACAAGUAAAGAUAGAAUAGAAAGAGAUAAUGGCAAGAGACCUGGUAACAAAAGGAACUCCAAUGCUGUGGAAUGGCAAUAGGGAGGGACAGUAUUGAGGAACCUCAAUCUUUUGAAACAGAAAAAAAGAGUCACAGUUAAAAAAACAACAACAACAACAUCCAACUAGCAUGAAAAAGACAAAGCUGGGGUGCUUGGUGGCUCAGUCAGGAAAAAAAGUCAGUUUAAAAGAGUAAUACAUAAAAGAUGCAGCUCCUGCCAGACACCAAAGGUACGAAAGGAUGUCUACAUACAGAUAAUGACACACAAGAACAUUCAGCCUAUGUAAGAGGAGCCUUUCUACCUAAUCCAUAGGAACACACACAGAAAGUCAAGCAAAAUGGGGAGACAGAGGAAUGUGCUCCAAAAGAAAGAAGAAGAAAAAACUCAGAAAAAAAGCUAAAUGAAACAGAUAAGCAAUAUGCCCAAGAAAUAAUUGAAAGUAAUGAUUAUCAAGAUGUUCAACAGUCUGGAGAGGAGAGUAGAAGAUCUCAGUGCUACUUCCAAUAAAGAGAAACUAUAAAGAAGAACCAGAGUUGAAGAAUACAAUAACUGAAAUGAAAAACACACCAGAGGGAAUCAAGAGGAGAUUAGUAGAUGCAGAAGAAUGUGAUAGCAGUUUAAAGACAGGGUAACAGGGAUCCCUGGGUGGCGCAGCGGUUUGGCGCCUGCCUUUGGCCCAGGGCGCGAUCCUGGAGACCUGGGAUCGAAUCCCACGUCGGGCUCCGGUGCAUGGAGCCUGCUUCU